rnacentral:rRNA from 1 species
AUUGAACGCUGGCGGCAGGCCUAACACAUGCAAGUCGAACGAGGGGCGGACGGGUGAGUAAUGUAUGGGAAACUGCCUGAUGGAGGGGGAUAACUACUGGAAACGGUAGCUAAUACCGCAUACUAUCGGAUGUGCCCAGAUGGGAUUAGCUUGUAGGUGGGGUACAGGCUCACCUCGGCGACGAUCCCUAGCUGGUCUGAGAGGAUGACCACCCACACUGGAACUGAGACACGGCCCAGACUCCUACGGAAGGCAGCAGGGGGGAAUAUUGCACAAUGGGCGCAAGCCUGAUGCAGCCAGGCCGCGUGUAUGAAGAAGGCCUUCGGGUUGUAAAGUACUUUCAGCGGGGAGGCGUUACCCGCAGAAGAAGCACCGGCUAACUCCGUGCCAGCAGCCGCGGUAAUUC